rnacentral:rRNA from 1 species
GACGAACGCUGGCGGCGUGCUUAACACAUGCAAGUCGAACGGAAAGGCCCUGCUUUUGUGGGGUGCUCGAGUGGCGAACGGGUGAGUAACACGUGAGUAACCUGCCCUUGACUUUGGGAUAACUUCAGGAAACUGGGGCUAAUACCGGAUAGGAGCUCCUGCUGCAUGGUGGGGGUUGGAAAGUUUCGGCGGUUGGGGAUGGACUCGCGGCUUAUCAGCUUGUUGGUGAGGUAGUGGCUUACCAAGGCUUUGACGGGUAGCCGGCCUGAGAGGGUGACCGGCCACAUUGGGACUGAGAUACGGCCCAGACUCCUACGGGAGGCAGCAGUGGAGAAUAUUGCACAAUGGGCGGAAGCCUGAUGCAGCAACGCCGCGUGCGGGAUGACGGCCUUCGGGUUGUAAACCGCUUUCGCCUGUGACGAAGCGUGAGUGACGGUAAUGGGUAAAGAAGCACCGGCUAACUACGUG